UCGGGACGAACGCUGGCGGCGUGCCUAACACAUGCAAGUCGAGCGAUGAAGCUUCUUCGGAAGUGGAUUAGCGGCGGACGGGUGAGUAACACGUGGGUAACCUGCCUCAUAGUGGGGGAUAGCCUUUCGAAAGGAAGAUUAAUACCGCAUAAUAUUGUAGUUUCGCAUGAAACAACAAUUAAAGGAGCAAUCCGCUAUGAGAUGGACCCGCGUCGCAUUAGCUAGUUGGUGAGGUAAUGGCCCACCAAGGCGACGAUGCGUAGCCGACCUGAGAGGGUGAUCGGCCACAUUGGGACUGAGACACGGCCCAGACUCCUACGGGAGGCAGCAGUGGGGAAUAUUGCACAAUGGGCGAAAGCCUGAUGCAGCAACGCCGCGUGAGUGAUGACGGCCUUCGGGUUGUAAAACUCUGUCUUCAGGGACGAUAAUGACGGUACCUGAGGAGGAAGCCACGGCUAACUACGUG
rnacentral:rRNA from 1 species